CACUCAUGUAAACACUGUAUUGCUUCCGUAUCUUUGCCACAGUGAAGCUCUCGCUGCAGCUCUGUGUCGCUGUCCUUCACAACUAUAACAACAGCCACAACAACAACAUGCCCAGCACUUGACAUUACGGCAAUGACCAAGACUUCAACUUCACGAAGAAUACUUCUGCUGACUGGAAGGUUUUCUCUUGGCCAGUGUGUCAACAUGUGUUUUAUUGGUUGCGUGGAACAGCUGGGCGUCGGGGCCGCUUCGCCAGCCUAGCAGAUGGCGUCAAGUUUUGCUUCUCACGCACAGUAGAAAGUUUGAUUGCACCUGAUCUACAUAUUUGCUGUGAAGAGAAUUGUUUAUUAUGAAGAGCUGUGUGGCAAGAUGCUCCAGUCAAUAGGGAGAAGGGAAUGAUCAACAAAUAAUGUUGGUAAAUAAAGAGAACAAAAUUUAUGGAGAUCCUAUGACUGUAAGGUGUUGGAAAGGAUUACAAGUUAGCUUUGUAAGGACCAGACACAGGUAACUUUGAUACAUGCUUGGCAUACAGGUUAGUUAUACUGUAGUUAAGAAGCAUACAUGGGUAGCUUUUCCAGGGUGGAAAAUAAUAGAGGAAUCUACAGAACGCCAUUUGGCCCGAGUGAAAUCAUGGUUACGUACCUUUAAAAUGUAAAGGUAAAUGUAAAGGUAAAUGUAAUAGUAAAGACUUUAAAGGUAAAUGGUACCUGAAAGGUACCAUUUAGGUUGACAUUCUUGAUGGGUCAGGUGGUACUGUACCAUUUUGGUUGACAUUAGAUUCUGACAGCAGUAUUGAGUUUAAGAUCCAAAUUUUAAAAGCUUGAGAACCUAGUCAACUAUUGCAGUAUUAUAUUUAGAAAAGUUUUUUAUGUAUCCAAGAAAAGUAAAAAGAGUAUAGUAAAUGGCAACUUCUGUAAUUUAACAGCUCUAAUAUUGCAGUGAAAGGAUUAAAUUAUUUAUCAAUUUUGCCAUGAAAUAUUGUAUAUUUAAAGUGCUGUACUGUAUAUUUUUGUGUGUUUUUGAUUGUGUUAUACAGUAUCUAUGUAACUAUGUAUCUAUGUAUGGAUAAAUAAAUUGUACUUUAAUA